GCCGCCGGACGAGCCGCGAGCCGAACUCCUAAAGCGGGUGUCGCAGGUUCGAAUCCUGCCGGGGGCA
rnacentral:tRNA from 1 species